GGCCUCGUAGCUGAGUGGUUUGAGCGGUGGCUUUACUAAAGCCUUCGAUUGCUGGUAUUGGUUCGAAUACCACCGAGGCCG
rnacentral:tRNA from 1 species